CGUAGACGCCGUAGGGAAAUUCGGAGAGAGUUGUCUCUUCUCUAUAAGCGUUCGAGUUCCCUGGAAACCUCUAGCAGGGAGAUAGGGUUUGGAACGCGAAGAGCACCGCAGUUACGGCGGUGUCCGGAUCUUCCCUACGGACCUUGAAAAUCCG
rnacentral:rRNA from 1 species